rnacentral:rRNA from 1 species
AAGGAUCAUUGUCAAAACCUGCCCAGCAGAGCGACCCGCGAACGAGUGAAAACAUGCACGUGCGGUUCGAGGAGGGGCGCGCCCCCGAUCGUCCGUCCGUCGGACCACGGUCCCCCGUCGCGGCCGCGGGGUGGGCCGGUGCGUCCGAAUUAAACCAAAAACCGGCGCUACAGGCGCCAAGGAAAUCUUAGCGGUCGCGGCCUUCGGGAUCCGAUACUCGAACGACUCUCGGUAACGGAUAUCUCGGCUCUUGCAUCGAUACUUGGUGUGAAUUGCAGAAUCCCGUGAACCAUCGAGUCUUUGAACGCAAGUUGCGCCCGAGGCCACUAGGUCGAGGGCACGUCUGCCUGCGCGUCACACACAGCGUCGCACCCCGCCAACCACGUUGUCGGGGAGCGGAAAUUGGCCCCCCGGGCCAUUGAGGGCACGGCCGGCACAAAUGUUGGUCCCCGACGGCGAGCGUCGCGGUCAGCGGUGGUNGUACUACUCACCCCCGAAGACAUCACGACGCGCCGCUCCUCCCCACGACGGGACAUACGACCCCAAGGAACCUUCUCACGCGGCAUCCACCCUGCGACUCCAGGUCAGGCGGGACUACCCACUGAGUUUAA